rnacentral:rRNA from 1 species
UACGUAGGGUCCGAGCGUUGUCCGGAAUUAUUGGGCGUAAAGGGCUCGUAGGCGGUCUGUUGCGUCCGCUGUGAAAACUCGGGGCUUAACCCCGAGCCUGCAGUGGAUACGGGCAGACUAGAGGUAGGUAGGGGGGAAUGGAAUUCCCGGUGUGAGCGGUGAAAUGCGCAGAUAUCGGGAGGAACACCCGGUGGCGAAGGCGGUUCUCUGGGCCUUACCUGACGCUGAGGAGCGAAAGCGUGGGGAGCGAACAGG